CUAGCCUGCUAAAUAGUGGCUGGAUUUUUAAGUCCAGUCUACUUCUUAGAGGGAUAAGCGGUGUUUAGCCGCACGAGAUUGAGCGAUAACAGGUCUGUGAUGCCCUUAGAUGUCCGGGGCUGCACGCGCGCUACAAUGGAAGAAUCAGCUGGCCUAUCCAUUGCCGAAAGGCAUUGGUAAACCGUUGAAACUCUUCCGUGACCGGGAUAGGGAAUUGUAAUUAUUUCCCUUGAACGAGGAAUUCCUAGUAAGUGUGAGUCAUCAGCUCACGCUGAUUACGUCCCUGCCAUUUGUACACACCGCCCGUCGCUGUCCGGGACUGAGCUGUCUCGAGAGGACUGCGGACUGCUGUAUCGAGGCCUUCGGGUCGCGGUAUGGCGGGAAACAGUUCAAUCGCAAUGGCUGAACCGGGUAAAAGUCGUAACAAGGUAUCUGUAGGUGAACCUGCAGAUGGAUCAU
rnacentral:rRNA from 1 species